rnacentral:lncRNA from 1 species
UUUUAAUUGUUUUUUUUCUGGAAAUCGUUGCUUACUAUUUCUUCAAACGCUUACAAAUUUCAUGCGUUAUAUAUUCUGUCGUUCUGAUCAAAGUGCACUUGCUGAUUCCAAAUUUCCAACAGAAUCUGCGUUAAUUAAGUUGCGUAGACGAGCGAAAGCAGGGAUCGAUGCGGGAUCAAGUGCGUCCUACUCAUCUUUGUUUAGUUUAAUAGAUCGAAUGUUUAACCGUACCUUUGAUAUUAUUCCCUACGUGGCUAUGUCGACCGUCUU